ACUCGGUUAAACAGGACUGCAUCUGCCAUGUGUAAUACCUGACACUGUGAGGACAACAGCAGUGAUCCAGGGGGUGUAACUGCUGUGAGGUGCGGCCCACAGCCCCGCUUUGCAAUGCACAACCACGCACAGGAGAUGAGAUAACUCAGAGAUAACGUGGGAGGAUAAAAGCUGAAGGCCAAGGAUACAGCUCUGUGACACAGCAUGAGGAGAAUCUGCCAAAGAACACUUGGAAGAAAGGCCUAAAUAGUAAAGGAGAAGACUUCAAGUGAAGCAUGGUUGAUUGUGUCAAGUCAAAGACAAUGAUGUUUAAAUACAUUUUUUUGAGCACUGCUGAGCCUUUGAAUGGCCUGGGUUGAUCCAAAGUGGAAAUAGAAAAGAGAUUUGGACACCGAUGCUCAGAUAUCUAUGGGGUUAGUCUACAGGUGCAACAGAGACAGGGCAGCCAUUAGAGAAGGAGGGGGGUCUGGGUCAAGGCUUUUAUUUAUUUAUAACACGCUUGAUUUUUUGAGGAAUAGAAGGAAAAGGAGGGUGAGCCAAGAAGAUGAUAUCAUUUUUCAGCCAUAUCUUUUUUUUUUCCCCUUAAUAACUCCUCUUGUGCAGUUUAUUCCCUCUAGAGGAAAUUAGGUGGCUUCUGGGCUUUUCUCCUUUUGCUUAUUCAUUUCACAGACCAGAAAGGUGGGGAGAACAAGCGCUGUUCUCUCAAAUGUCACCCCUUGAGGCUGUUCAGCUAAAGAUGUAGCUUGAACAUGCAGCUGAGCUGAUCUAAUGACUUGUAGCUGGCUGAAAGGAGGCUUUAUUCUUCUUGGCUAUGUGUUCUGUCCCUUUCUUUGUGCUGCUGCUGCUGCUCAUUGGGCCUGUUUGUCUAGCAUUUUACUGAUUUCAUUUGGCUCAAGGAGGUGUCCCAAUGGAUGCCCAAAUUAGCACAGGCCAGUCAGGAUGGUGCAGCUGGGAGCAGGGUUUUGGGAGAUAGGGGAUGUCACCUUCUAAGCAAGCAUGAACUGUGGGGCCAACUUACUGUGUCUGCUGGAACUCAACCACUGAGGUAAGUUUAGCAGCCCUUCAAGAAACAAAAAUGUGAAAUUCCUCUCUAUUCCGACAUACACAAUGAAAGAGUUGGCAAUUAAUGGAGAAAUAUGUUGGUGAUGAUUAAUGGUAAUACAGCUCAUCCUCAUGGGAUCAAUCUGGCAGCUCACACCUCUGAGGGCUGUUGUUUCAGAUUCUUUGCAAAACCUGCAGACUCUGGCAGAUCCCUUCACUGAGGGAGUUGCAGCUGAUUCAUCUUUUGGCUUAGGAUGUAGUUUCACUGAGAUCUGGCUCUGUGGUGAGCCACUCCAAGGAGUUAAACCAGGAGAAAACUCUAUUUUUUGCUGUGUUAGCUUUCUGCUCACUGAAUUCCUUGAAUCAGACUGGCACCAAUGUUCGCAGAAGGAAGGCAGUAGGAGGAAGACUACAGGUAGAAGGGGGAAGCAGAAUUGUUUUUUCAACAGGAGCUAAACCCUCCAUCCACCUUGUUACAGCGUGAAACUCCACCUUUAGGAUGUGGCUUCACAGUUGAUUUCAAAUUGAUCUCAUUGUGACUUUUUGACAAAAGAAGUCGUCCUACUACUUCCCUGAUACCAGCCUGCUCAAAAAAAAAAAAUCCUGCUCAAAAUGACUGGUUUGAAGAUGUAGUCAUGGGGUUACCAGCAUUGACACAAGGAAGAUAAAUCACAUUAGGAGCUGAAAUGUGAGUUUGGCUUUCUUAUGUAGCUUGGGAUGGGGCCCCAAAUGCAGGGUUAUUAAUGAGCUAGUGGGGACUCCACGCAGCUCCCUGCUCAUUGUCUGCUCGCAGCAAUUUAGGUCUUGACUGGAGCCUCUCUCCUUUGAUAUUCCACUAUCAUUGAUUUUCCUUUGAACACUGAGUCAUUUACUCUAGUCUUCUCCCUGUUAAAGGAUGAGCUAAUGGGAUUAUAAAAAUAUUUUUUUCUGUGAUCAGCAGAACAAGUGAAGCCUGGUUUCCUAUGGACUUGUCCUGAUGUGGCACCGCUGUGUGGAUUCUCUGAUGUAUAUUAAGCAGUGUCUGCACAUGCUUGAUAUUUUAUCAGUGGCAGUUUUAUUAGGGUCUGUUUCAUUGACUCAGCUUUGCAUUUCACAGAAGUCACCUUUGAAAGCUCUAUCUCUUUGUACAAAUUUAGAUGGAAUUGGGCAAUGGCUUAAACAUGCCUUUUUUUUUUGGCAAGGAAAGGCAGGAAGAAAGGGGACCCACAGGCAGAAACACCAACAGACAGUGUAAUUGCAUAAGCCUUCUUUCCUUAGGAAAUCAGGCUAAAAAUGAGUCUUUUGACAUCGAUCUCUGUAGAGAUCUCAGAUCAGGUUACAGAGAGACAAAGAAAAGUAAAUUUUGCUGUUUACCACGUAAGGGCUUCAGUUACCUGCUGCAACAGAUUUCUCGUAAGUAAGGCUAAGCCAGCAGUUGGUGUUUGCUCACUUGGUUACCUUCUCAUCUUUGGCAAUGUCCCCAUCAGGCUUUGGGAACUUUUUUUUUUUUUUUUUUUUUUUUUUUUUUUUUUUUGCCAGAGUGCACUCAUGCAUCAGUUGCUUUCAUUUAUUUUUAAUUUAACCUUUACACUUGAAUAAAUGGAUAUGUAGGUAGUAAGACAAGCUGUUAAAGAGACUUGUGGUUUACAGGACCAGUGAUAGCAUGAAAAACACAGGCUUUAGGUGCAGCCAAGGAUACAAUCCUGUUAUUAUUGAAAAGCAAGGCUUGGGCAUUACAUUAUAUCAUAUUUUCUCUGUACUGUGUAAUAAGUGCUAGGAUAUUUUAUUUUUCCUCUCUUUACACAAAAGUCCUAUUACCUUAGAAACCGAAAUAAACACUUUGUAAAAGGGAAGACCUGUUUCAGCUUUCUGGGUGGAUGUCAGUUUAUUACAAAUGGAUCCAGCUAUGAAUAAACUUUGCAGAUUUGUUCA